UUAAUGUUGUAUUCUGUAAAUACAUGUGUGAGAAUGACUGGAUCCCUGUCCUGGACAGCAGUUGGCUUCACCCAGUUUCAACAAGAUGAAUAUUCCAAGACUGGCCUCGGGUGGCUCCUGCUCAUACUUCCAUAAGGAUAUUAAGUCAGAGGGCAAAUGAGAGACCAACUGACCAGGAAGGAAGACCAUGCCACAUCACUGGGAAGAAGGCGUGUUGGAAGGCAAGUGAGGGAGAAUGAAGGGGAGAAAAAUUGACAGGCAUUUAUUGUUAAGAAGAAACUGCAGUCCCACUAAACACCACAAGAAUCCAGCCAGGCAAAUAAACCGGGGGAAAUACUCGCUCUCCACAGGACAAAGGGUGAUAUCCUUA